GAUGAACGCUGGCGGCGUGCCUAAUACAUGCAAGUCGAGCGAACAGACGAGGAGCUUACUCCUUUGACGUUAGCGGCGGACGGGUGAGUAACACGUGGAUAACCUACCUAUAAGACUGGGAUAACUUCGGGAAACCGGAGCUAAUACCGGAUAACAUGUUGAACCGCAUGGUUCAACAGUGAAAGACGGUCUUGCUGUCACUUAUAGAUGGAUCCGCGUCGCAUUAGCUAGUUGGUAAGGUAACGGCUUACCAAGGCAACGAUGCGUAGCCGACCUGAGAGGGUGAUCGGCCACACUGGAACUGAGACACGGUCCAGACUCCUACGGGAGGCAGCAGUAGGGAAUCUUCCGCAAUGGGCGAAAGCCUGACGGAGCAACGCCGCGUGAGUGAAGAAGGUCUUCGGAUCGUAAAACUCUGUUAUUAGGGAAGAACAAAUGUGUAAGUAACUAUGCACGUCUUGACGGUACCUAAUCAGAAAGCCACGGCUAACUACGUG
rnacentral:rRNA from 1 species